GAGCUCAGUUGGUAGAGCAUAAGACUCCUGAUCUCAGGGUUGUGGGUUUGAGCCUCACAUUAGGCA
rnacentral:tRNA from 1 species